CGUGAGACAAAUUUUCUACUAUAUAUUUAAAAUUAGUCUUCUGUAUAUAUUACUCAAAAUGGAUAGAAAUUUUGCUUUUUACAAAUCCAGGAAGAAUGUAAUAACCAUUCUUUUCAUCCUAGCUCUUGUGGCAAUGCGAAAUAGGGUCGGAAAAGCAAGAUAUAAUUGUGUUCUUAUUGGAGAUAAAUGUGGACCUGGUUUGAAUUCUUGUUGUGCGCAACUUAUAUGUGGUCCAAAAAACAUUUGUAUGGAAGACCCCUACCACAACUGCAAACUCACAGGGGAAAAGUGUGGUUUCAUCUUUGGUAAGUGUUGUAUAGGAGCAGGAAAAUGUUCAGGCCGCGUUUUAAGAAGCAGAUGUCACUAAUUUUGAUCAUCACAACACUCACCUUAUUGCAUGGAAACUGAUGGAGUUGGCUUCCCUCAAAAUGGAGUAUCAGCUAGCAGACUCCUUAGCCAUUCGGCUUCCUGACCUGCCAAUUUUAAAGGUUCCUCAAAGUUGGAUCUUGGCAUCCAUUUGGGGAGAUUGUACUUGGAUUACUUGAAAUUGGAUUUUGAAUCGAUGUCCGGAAUUGUAACGAACUCGAAAAUUGGAAUUUUGUAAGAUUGAAUUUAAUUUUGGAAUUUGGAAGUUGGAUUUUGAAUUUGAAUUGGAAAAGGAAUAAGUUCAUUGUCAUCGCAAUUGUGAUUCCUCUCGAAGUUGCUCCAACCAUAGAUAGACUGGUGAUGUCGUCAUUGAUCGACUCUGAGGGGAGACACAAAUUAAGUAUCUACAGAAUUCCCCCACUUUGAGUAACCUUUUAGUUAGAAAAGCAUUGUAAAAAUUUCAAAUGGGAGAGAGAAUGGUCAAAAUGCUCUGCAAUUAAGACUACCCUUUGUACGUCGAUACCUGCAUAUAACCAACGUAAGAAAGAACAGUUGAGUCUACCUCUGGUCCGACUUGAUGACUCUGAUUCUUGAUCUUGUAUGGCUUAUCUUCUCUGGAACUAUCUUGGAACGGAGCUUGACAUCGAAAAUUUUUAAUACUUUUUUUGAAUUAUACCCUGGGUUAAGUCCGUCGGGUGCUUGAAUUUUGUUUGGGGUUUUGCUCGGGAUUUUGAAUAAGAAAGGAAAAAGGGAUUAAGUAAAAAUAAACAAACAUGAACUACAUGAAUUUGAGUAAUUAUAAAAGUUGAAGGUAAAAUUAAGUGGGGUCAAAUAUAGGCCAGGUUAAAACCACGUCGGUUCAAUACUAUAGGCCGUUUAGAUAAUAGUCCAGGGUAAACCAGAUCGGGCCAAAUCAGAUAGUUUCCUGGUCAAAUCGGUGUUGGAUGGAGUUUAGGUUGGGCAAAUCAGUGUCGGUUAGGUAACAGUUCUGGUCAAACCAAAUCGGGUCAAAUCAACGCCCAAUGGAUGUCAGGUCGGAUCAAAUACAUGACAGGUGGAGUUGAGUCGAAUCCAACCGGUGGUAGAUGGAGUUCGGGCCAGAUCAAAAUGGUGACGGGUAGUUCAAAUCGGGUGAAACGGGUGUCGAGUAGAGUUCAAGUUAGUUACAGAUCAGGUUGGGUCAUUAAUUUUUCUAGUCAAAGGACUUCGUUUACAAUUAGAAACAUGUGAUUUUUCUGAUUGGGUUAGCUUCAUAAUCUUCUUGUUUAUUAAGAGUUACCUCUUAUAUUUUCUCUCUUCUUAAGAGGGAGCUAUUAGUUGCGUAUAUACUACUUCCAUUUCUAAAUAUUUACAUUAUUUAGAUCUUUGACACUAUUCAUACUCUCUUUGUCCCUUAUACUGAGUUCGGCGAGACGACUAUCUGAUAUGUUUUGCA